UACGGGGGGGGCAAGCGUUGUUCGGAAUUACUGGGCGUAAAGGGCUCGUAGGCGGCCAACUAAGUCAGACGUGAAAUCCCUCGGCUUAACCGGGGAACUGCAUCUGAUACUGGAUGGCUUGAGAUUGGGAGAGGGAUGCGGAAUUCCAGGUGUAGCGGUGAAAUGCGUAGAUAUCUGGAGGAACACCGGUGGCGAAGGCGGCAUCCUGGACCAACACUGACGCUGAGGAGCGAAAGCCAGGGGAGCAAACAGG
rnacentral:rRNA from 1 species